GGCAUUUUGGGAGCUCACUGACUUCGGGUUCCAUCGGAACUUCGAAGUUAAGCGAGUUCGCGCGAGAUCAUUCCCAUGAUGGGUGACCCACUGGGAAGUUCUCGUGUGAGUUCCUAGAAACAAAAUCGUGAAGGCGUGGUUGGGGUCCAAAGCAGACAAUAUCGUGCUACGGCAGAGUCAAGCUCGUGAUGUGGUGGGAACCCGGGCUGGGAUGUGACAAUUUGGUAUCAGAGUCUAACCCUAGCCGUGGUAUGCCGACGAGGACGUCGGGCCCCUAAGGGGGGUGGAUUGUAACAUCCCACAUUGCCUAGGGGAGUGAAUCUUGUAAGCCUUAUAUGUAUAUUCUCAUCUCUACCUAUCACGAGACUUUUUGGGAGCUCACUGGCUAUGGGUUCCAUCGGAACUCCGAAGUUAAGCGAGUUUCUGCGAAAGCAUUCCCAUGAUGGGUGACCCACUGGGAAGUUCUCGUGUGAGUUCCC
rnacentral:sRNA from 1 species